AAAUGACAUGCAUACAAAUAUGCAGUGCUGUACCAGAAGUCAGGGCUUGAAAUUGAUGUCUGCCAAAUGUAGAAAAAAAUGUAGUACUUUAAAUGCAAGUCAAGAAUCGAGAUUCAGUCCUUCAUAACCAUUUCAACACAAACCUCUGGCUAUUACAUAACAUCACUGAGAGAUAAAACAAGUGGUAAACAUGACUUCAGUCAUGCUACUUCUUUUAGACCCUUCUGGAAACUGCUCUGGUAGACUACUGUGACCCACAAAAUGGCUGACUAAAAGCAGACCAGACCAGACCGGCUUCUUCAAAUAGGAAAUAAAUACUGUUGUCGGGAAGGUUCAGAGACUGCAAAGAGGAAAUAAAUCCCAGCACAAGUAUGCUGUCAGAGGCAGAUGAUGUUCGUUUGUAAGUCUGCCUUCAUGUUUGUAGUGAUAAUAAAAAUCCAGUCAUCCAUUUCUUCCAUGCAUAGUGAUGAGCAUUUUAUUUUCAAAUACAAUGAUUCGCACCGUUUGGUCAGUCAUGUGUGGAGUUACUGAAAGUGUUGCACAAGAAAUCUUAGUAAAAAUGCAGGUCAUGCAUAAGUGAUUUAAUGAGGCAUUUAAUGACUGUGGGGUAUAAGUACAUGCCAUGUUGUCUCUCUAGUUUAUACAAAACCAAUUGAUACCAAUUUGGUAUCCAUUGCAGUGUAUGGAUACUGGUGAAAAUGUAUUCUGAACAUGGCCAUACUGAGAACUACACAGAGUUGUGUGGCGCUGAUAGUCUUGUAACAAUUCAUUUGGCAAUGGCUUGAAUGUAACAGACGUUCAUUGAUAUCAAAAAGUUACGCACUAAAGCUUUAAAUGGAUACAUUUGAUGAAUAGCAUUUUGGCUAGUGAAAAUUCAAAGUGGUUGGUAAUUUAAAAA